rnacentral:rRNA from 1 species
UGAUCCGGCGUGGGGACAGUGUCUGGUGGGUAGUUUGACUGGGGCGGUCUCCUCCCAAAGUGUAACGGAGGAGCACGAAGGUCAGCUAAUCCUGGUCGGACAUCAGGAGGUUAGUGCAAUGGCAUAAGCUGGCUUGACUGCGAGAGUGACGGCUCGAGCAGGUGCGAAAGCAGGUCAUAGUGAUCCGGUGGUUCUGUAUGGAAGGGCCAUCGCUCAACGGAUAAAAGGUACUCCGGGGAUAACAGGCUGAUACCGCCCAAGAGUUCAUAUCGACGGCGGUGUUUGGCACCUCGAUGUCGGCUCAUCACAUCCUGGGGCUGAAGUAGGUCCCAAGGGUAUGGCUGUUCGCCAUUUAAAGUGGUACGCGAGCUGGGUUUAGAACGUCGUGAGACAGUUCGGUCCCUAUCUGCCGUGGGCGCUGGAGAAUUGAGGGGGGCUGCUCCCAGUACGAGAGGACCGGAGUGGACGCAUCACUGGUGUUCGGGUUGUCAUGCCAAUGGCACUGCCCGGUAGCUAAAUGCGGAAGAGAUAAGUGCUGAAAGCAUCUAAGCACGAAACUUGCCCCG